rnacentral:tRNA from 1 species
AUUUAAAUAGUUUAUUUAAAAUAUUGAUUUGUGGUGUCAAUGAUAUGAGUUAGUCAUUUUAGAUC